rnacentral:RNase_P_RNA from 1 species
GGAGUCGGCCGGACAGUCGCUGCGUCGGUCUCGGCGCGGAGGAAAGUCCGGGCUCCACAGGGCAGGGUGCCAGGUAACGCCUGGGCGGCGUGAGCCGACGGAAAGUGCCACAGAAAACAGACCGCCGAUGGCCUUCGGGCACAGGCAAGGGUGAAAAGGUGCGGUAAGAGCGCACCGCGCGGGUGGUAACACUCCGCGGCACGGUAAACCCCACCCGGAGCAAGACCAAAUAGGGGAGCUAUGGUGUGGCCCGCACCGCUCUCGGGUAGGUCGCUAGAGGCGCACGGCGACGUGCGUCCCAGAUGAAUGACUGUCCUCGACAGAACCCGGCUUACAGGCCGACUCCCGCC